rnacentral:lncRNA from 1 species
UUGAUUUGAGAGAUCGGAUUGCUUGCAAACCUUGUAAUAACAUGAUCAUGUAUUCAGUUUGAAAGAAAUACCAAAUAUGGAUAAAGUGGUAUAUGAUAGUUUUAGGCUAAAUACCUUCACUUCGGAAGACCUAUAUUUUCUAAAUUUUGAGGACAAAAUUUUUUUUGAGGAAAGAAUGUGACAACUGAUUCUUUUGGAUCCGGUUCAUUCUGAAACCGGCAUCCCUUGCCUACUUCAUCGGAAACAAAAAAAAAACUGAGAAAGAGUCCCUAAGGG